UGUAGCAACAAAGUGUGUUAAUCGUGGCAUUGCUGAAUUUGUUGUAAUGGCUGCCGACACUGAGCCAUUGGAAAUAUUGCUGCAUUUACCUCUACUUUGUGAAGAUAAGGUAGGUCUUGUAACUUCAUCCGGAUAGAAACGAAUAUUUGAACAGAAUCCAAAUUAAUAGAUAGAUAGAUAGAUAGAUAAACUUUAUUUAAACACGCUGAC
rnacentral:lncRNA from 1 species